rnacentral:rRNA from 1 species
CCUACGGGUGGCAGCAGUGAGGAAUAUUGGUCAAUGGACGAGAGUCUGAACCAGCCAAGUAGCGUGAAGGAUGACUGCCCUAUGGGUUGUAAACUUCUUUUAUAUGGGAAUAAAAUGUUCCACGUGUGGGAUUUUGUAUGUACCAUAUGAAUAAGGAUCGGCUAACUCCGUGCCAGCAGCCGCGGUAAUACGGAGGAUCCGAGCGUUAUCCGGAUUUAUUGGGUUUAAAGGGAGCGUAGGUGGAUGGUUAAGUCAGUUGUGAAAGUUUGCGGCUCAACCGUAAAAUUGCAGUUGAAACUGGCAGUCUUGAGUACAGUAGAGGUGGGCGGAAUGCGUGGUGUAGCGGUGAAAUGCUUAGAUAUCACGAAGAACUCCGAUUGCGAAGGCAGUUCACUGGACUGCAACUGACACUGAGGCUCGAAAGUGUGGGUAUCAAACAGGAUUAGAUACCCCAGUAGUC